CUGCAAUUUUAUUUAAACAAGUUUUUCCCUACCCAAUUCCCUGCAGAGAAGUAUUGUACCCUUUUGUUGAUUGUAGUGGACAUAUUGCAGAUCUCUGAUUACCUUCCCAAAGGACCACCCACUACAAGAAGGUUUUGUGUUGCAAGCACAGCUUUGCUCGUUCCUCUCCCCUCCCAUUCACCUUCUUAUUUUUUCUUGUUUUUUGGGUUUUUUUUUUUUCUGUUUUUCUCCCAACCCUUUAAUUUUCCUAGCAUUCUCAUAUGCUGUGGAUGAGCUGACAGACUAGCCUGCCAUCUGUUCUUUCAUGACAUGGUGCAACCUAAUCAAUUAUCCCCAAACCACUUUGGAGUAAAUAAAAUGUCUACAAUAAUAAUAAUUAGUCAGUUAAAAAGAAAACAGCAUCACACAACUCCUGGUGGGAAUUAGGUAGAUUUCAGAACACAGCAUUUUAUUAACUGAGACUAUUAGACCAGGAGAUGACAACUUUGGGAGAAAAAGAAGUCACCUUCAGUAAUUUAUUCUGAGACUUGAGAAUAAGGGAGCACCCCUGGACUUUGGAUAUCUUUGACCCAUUGUAACCAGUGAUGUCAGGUUCAAGUAAAUUUGCCAUUGGUGCUGCAAUUAAUAGACACAUUAACAUAAACAUGAGAAUUUGCCUUAGCGUUAGGUCUGUAUUAAAAUACCAAUAAAUAUUAAAAAAGAAAUAAUGACCAGCAGUUGACAUUUAUAUAGUGUGAAGAGACAUAUACAUUUCUUCAAACGUACACAUGAGGCAUGACAUUUCUUCAGGGUGAGAUUUGUCUACAAAUAACAGCAUGAGUAGAAAUCCCUGAUGUAAGAGUGGAUUACACAUGCACACACUUCAAGAACAGUCAAAAAGCAGAAAUACGAGCUGUUACAAACAGAAACCAGGUUUGCAAUAUUAGGAAUUAAGAAAAUUGGAAGAUUGCUGUUAAUAUUGUUGAACACUCAAGAUCACACAAAGCCAAUACUCACAUAGUUAUUCAGGCCACUGUUUUCCACAAUGCAAACAACUGCUACGAUAAUUUUUUGACAUUGAUUUUGUCAGAUUACUGUAGCAGUUAUUCAACUUAAUCAAUUGCUGGGCAUUUGAAAUUUAUCUUUGCAUCUGAGUGACAAUUUCAGGAUUUUUUACUAUUGCUACAUGAAUGAAGCCAAGGAUAAAUCAGAAAGUAGCAGUAUUCUAGAAAGAUCAUUAGCACAUUGCCAACUAAAAUUUCAGCCAAAGGAUCAAUAUAAUAUCACUGAUCACACUGAUGACAUGAAGGAGGAAUUGUCUCAUUAUUCUCUGUAUUUUGAUUGCAAAUGAUUAUUACCUAUGUUCUUUGUGUCCUGAAAGAUGUCAACAUGUAUAGCUGUGCAAGUAUUAAAGACACAGUAAUAAGUAAAAUAACUUCAGGUGUAUAAGUGAUGUAUCCAGUCUUCUCUAAACUGUAAGGAUUUCACACCCUUUAAUUAUUUUCCUCUGGACUACCAACUUUACCAGUAAGUUAACAGACAACAUAACAGUGUGAGUCUGAACUUUCUACACAAAACCCGACUGUCUGAUGACCAUCCCAAGACAGAGAAGACAGUGAAUUCUGGAAAAAGAAAACUUGCAUGAACCAUCUUAGCAGCUAUGACAUAUAGAAAUACCAGACCACCUACUCCAGUAUUAUAAAGUCUAGGUAGCUCUAAAAGACAAAGUAAAAUGCUGAGAAUCUAUGUAACACAGAAUCUACGUGCUCACUUUCACAGUCACCCAUUGUGACUGGUCCAUCUUGGAGGGAGAUGGAGACAAUUACCCAUAAAGCAUAAUGCACAGCAGCAAGAAAUGGUGUAUUUUAUGAUGCUGUUUUUUACAUGCCAGAUUAGGUCUGUCCUUAAGCAUCUACGCUGAGGCAUGAGGCAGACUGAAGUUUAAACAUUCCUGGUCUUACUGAAAGCUCAGGUAAGAACAUAAACAAUCAAGCAGGAACAUGUACAGAGGGUGGAGAAAAAUCACCGUGAUGCAGGCCAGUGAAGAUAAAGCAAUGAAUCACAGAAGAUCUUCCAACAUUCCCUGUAUUACUGCACCACUAUGAUUUCUGUGACACGACAUGGAUCCCUUGCAGGCUUUUACAAACAUGAGAGUUCCCAUGUGUCGUUGACACUGAUGAAUUGCUAGAACGCUACAGAAGAACUUGGAAAUGGCAACAGAGCUGGCUCCACCGGAGUUAACUCAAGCUCCUGAGAGGGACCAGAGGGGUUUUGAUUCUUUUUAUUACAUGAUAUCAAUUAAGUGUUUAGUAAUUUACAAUAUAAAGCAACUUUCCAAUGGAAUUUUUAACAAAAUGGAAACAAAUUACCUUUGAGAUGGUUAUCAUUUGGAAUCUUGAGUAAAAUGAAAAUAAGACAAAUGCCAACACGCUUUCCUGCCGUCCAAAACAACUUGCCAGGCAUCCCUGUUUCAAAUCAAGUAAAUCUGUGCAGCUUCUCUUUGACAGCAACACAAAAUCUCAUGUGAAACACAGUGAAUGACACAGCUGAUGCAGAAGGCUAGCAGAAAUACUGCAUCAAGCAGCUUUUGUUUUGAAGUGGGUACCUCUGUUAUGCAACUCUUAGAAUUAGAAACUUCAGCAAGCAAAAACCACAAUUCCCAUACAGUUCUCAACUCAGAUGAUAUUUCCACACUUCUUAGGAACGGUCUAUUCACAACACAACAGUCUAUUCUAAAAUUCUGGCACCGGCAGAGACUGUAUUCGUAUCCCUUGGCUGGAGUAAAGGACCAAAUGAUGCAUUAUGGGUGGGAGGAAGGUGUUUACUGAAAGACAGAGGUAUUAUCCACUCAGUAAAGAAUGAUGACCAUGAACAAAAAACAGCAGAAGAGCAAUGUGCUGAUUAGGCACACCAACAGCUUUAACAGCUCCCUUCUGCUUCGAGGCUUUCUGCAGUCACUAGGAACAUGAGGCACACUACAGUGCACAGCGUUAGUAGUGUAACAGUAUGGAGCAGACCUAGCUGUAGUGAAGCGCUGACACUAACUUAGGAGUUUAUGAUCUUGUCCUUAUGCACACGGCUGAGAAAAAUCUAAGCUUGAUAUUAAAAACUUCUGAGCUGUUCACCAAAAUUCAUUUCAGUGACAAAUGGUGAAAGAAAGUGCAAGUGGUGACCACACCUCUUUACACUUUGGACACAAAAGAUGGAGUUUUGUGUUCUCGGGCUAUGGAAAUGAGUAUAUUUCUUUAUUUCUACCUCUUUGUUAGUGGGAAAAGAAGAAAGGGAGAGACACAGUGGAGUGAAGAUGAGGUGUUGUGUGUGCUUCCUGUCCAUGCAGCUAUGCAAAAUAAACUGGACUACAAGGGAAGGAAUGAGCAGCAUUACUCUGAAGAGCAGUACAGGCUCUACAGACCACUUGUCUGGGAGAAAUUGUCUUGUACUGAGCAUACAUUUGUACAACAUCUGACGCCAUUCCUUUGCAACCUCACUCUACAUAUGUUUUCUCACCAGUGUACACAGUGUUGCAGACACCAUUCCUCCUCCCCCAAGCAAGAAGAUCCUUUCAUUUCUCCAUGCCUCUUUGUCAUAUCGGCAGAUUCCUGCUGCUUCUUUUCUUUUCUUUUCUUUUCUUUUCUUUUCUUUUCUUUUCUUUUCUUUUCUUUUCUUUUCUUUUCUUUUCUUUUCUUUUCUUUUCUUUUCUUUUCUUUUCUUUUCUUUUCUUUUCUUUUCUUUUCUUCUCUUCUCUUCUCUUCUCUUCUCUUCUCUUCUCUUCUCUUCUCUUCUCUUCUCUUCUCUUCUCUUCUCUUCUCUUCUCUUCUCUUCUCUUCUCUUCUCUCUUUUCUUUUUCUUUUCUUUUCUUUGGUGAUUUCCAUGUGCACAACGCUUCCAGAGACGUCUGGCUUUCUCUGCAGUACAUACAGAAGGAGUCGCUCAACACUGCACAUUCAUGAGUGCUUACUUGUUUCCUCACUUGUUCCCUCUUUUUCUCUGCAGUUCUUGCAGUGUAUGCAACAUGACACAAAGUGUGCUUGGUCCUUCGCCAGACACAAGAGCAGCCUUCACACCUGUCCCCUUCUCCUAGCUUUUCUGCCAUUUUCUCAGCCUUUUUUCAGUGGGCAGGAAAGAAAACCUCCACACACACACGCCAGCUUCCCCUUGUGCUGCACACAGAAGCAGCUAGAUGCUCCUCAGCCUUUGAUCUCCUUUAAUCAGAAGGAAGGCGGCUGAGGAAGAAGGAUAUGAUCUUCCUUUCACGCUUAUUCCACUCCUUAGGCCCAAUAAAGAGGACAGCACAAGGCUGCUCAGGGUAUUAAGCGCGAGAUAAUCGAAGAAAUGACUCGGAGGGAUCUGCAGCCCGUUCGCUAACCCGAGCCUUCCCCUUUCCUGAUGCGCCUGAGCUGUGGGGAGGGAGGGCUUCCCUGCUAACAGGACUUAGAGCCUCUGCCCCCCUCCUACCACCUCACGCUCGUCUUUAUUAGCUUUUUCACACUACACAGUCCUCUCAUCGAUUACAAGGGCCGGCACAAAGCGACCUAAUGAUGGGUCAGUCUUAAUGAGAAAAGCGGCUGCUCUUGAAGUGGUGUGGCUUCGUCCUGCACCCCGCCGAGCCCCGGCAUGUAGGGCUUCGCCUCCUUUUAGAGGGAAGAGCCAUGGAAAAUCAACAGCGAGCAGCCUGGUGCCUCUGAACAGAAAGGGCCAUGUGCAUGGCUAUUUAGUGCUGUAAAAGAGAGAGCAUUUGCACAAAUGGGAGUGAACAUAAGGAGGCCUUCAGAGAAGAAUGGGGCCUUGGCAAAUUUAUAGACUCCCCUGAAAGAAAGUGAUUACAGAUCAUUAUCCAAUUGAGGCAGAUUGAUGGGUUAGGGUCAAAGUAAUACUGCAGAGCUCACUGGAGGGACAAUGCCUGCUUGUCAGUUCUGUCCGGGAAAAGAAAGAGAAGGGAAACUACCACACAGAGAGGAAAGACUUAAGCUUUUCCAGCCUGUAUUUGAAAAAUCGUUACUUAUCUUGAGCGUGUGUUCUUUAAAUUAAAAUAAAUAAAUAAACACCAACACAGACAAACACACACGAAACAACAAACCCUGACGUUGCAGUGUGACUGAGUUAAAACUAGGCCUUCAGAAUUGUAAAUGAUUGUGCAAAUACUGUGCAAACAGCACACGUAAAAAGCCUUGUGACUUACUCUCAGAGGACGCAAUGAGGAUUAAUAUUAGUAAUGGAGGAAUCGUAUAUUUAUUUCAUUAAGAAAAGAAGCUAAAGACAUUUUCUAAAAUAAAUAUGUUUUUUUGUUUGUUUGUUUUGUUUUAUUUUUUAGUGAAAGAAGGACCGUUUUGUUAACAGCUAUGGUUGAACAGCUUUGAAACCCUGCAACAUCUGGUCAAGCAAAACUCAGCAAUACUGACAUUGAAUAAAACAAGAAUAAAUGUGCUUCUAUUGUUUCUUCUGUAUUGAUUUUUAGAGUGUUUAAAAGUGCUUUGCAUUCAUGCACUUUUCAAACAGCCGUAGAAAUGGAAACAACAUGGCUCAAAAAGCAGCUGACAGCUUUUAUUGUGCAUUUGCCUCCCAUUUUCCAAUAUGAUUUUGGAAUGUAAAGAAUUUGAGCAAAGAGAGAAGACAAUGCAUUCAUGAGAGACCUGAUUUGUUUUUUAAUUGUGUUUAUUUAUUAACUUCUCUGUUGUUCCCAGCAUCUCAGAAGCAGAGCACCACAAGCACUUUAAUGGAUCUGCCGUCCCAGCGGAGAGCAGGGUAGCACUGGCCCUGUUUCAAAUAAAGGAUCAGUAGGGCAGCUUGCCUCCAGGCCACUGUCUUGAGAGUUUAGCAAGGGUUCCCUCCAAUUCCAUUUCACAACCACUGCAGAUACUGAAGUUACAGUCCCAGCAUUAGCUGUGAGUUUGCUGGUACCUUGGCGCACUCUUGCAGAAGUGCAAGGGUCUAUACUGAUUCAGAGCCUGUUGAGAAGCAGUAAUUUGCUAUGCUGGACUUUGGCCCAGGCAUGAGCUUGUCCUGCUAAUCCUUCAGAAAGUCUGUAGGAAUAUUAGGUACAGGUACUGGUACCCCAACAUCUAUUCUCUGAUCUGUUGCAGUGAUGGAAAGACCUGUCCUGCAGACACUAGAUAACUCUGGCUCAACCUUGCAAGUGACUGCAUUCAUACAGUCUUGCUCUUUCUCACUUAAAGCAGUAAGGAUAGCAUUUCUGGCUUCACACCCAUCUGCAAUUUCUAAAACUGUUAACAGCUUCAGGAGAGGCUUCCCAGACUCUCACUUAAGACAGUACUUCUGUACAGCACACACAUUUCUUUAUGUUCAUUUGAUAGCAUGGCCGUGUUCUUCUACAGAGUGCUUCAUAAAAGGCAUCUUUAAUACUUUUGCUGGAAAGAAAGAGAUCACUCACCAAAUUCCUGUUUUGGGGACAUCCCCUGGACUCUCGUCACCACUAUUUUAUCUUCUCUAUUAUGAUUCCCGAAUCACUAAUUCUCAAGACUCUAAAUUUUCAGUGUAACUGACAGCCCUUCUCCACCCCCCGCAAGGCCAUUUGUCAUCUCACCUUCUAUCUAUAAAGCAGAAAAACCCCCCAAAUGACAUCCAUCCAAGAAAAAUAACUAGAAAGAGCCCGGGGGUCUGUGCAAGAUGAUUCCAUGCAAGGCAUCUUCCUUUACCUCACCAUCUAGUGAAAUGGGGGUUAUGUUGCAUGUUAGAAAACAGUUCUGUGGUUCUUUGCCUACCUCACUCUGUCUGCUAGGCUGAAGUUCUAAUUUACACAUAUAUUCCUUGAGUUAGACUAAACACUUUGAAUCUUUCCGUACUUUUUUCCUCGUUCAUUUCAUUAUUGGGUGUGACGUAGGCUCCUCUAUGUCACAUACUCUUGAAUCUUUCAGCAUAUAGUAGAAUUGUAGCUGAGACAAGAUACCAAGUAUGAGCCAGCAUACACUGUAGUAAUGGUCAUUUUAUUUGUUGGGGUUUUUUGGUCUUUCCUUCCAGUGUUUCUCUGUUUUGGCCUAGCUGCAUUAUUGCUGGUUGUGCAUGGUUUAGAAACAACUUGCAGCUACUCUUCAUCUGACUGCAUUUGCUUUCACUUGCCUCCUCCAGUUCUGCAGAAGAUGUGCAUAUGUGCAGGACUCCAUAUGUUUUCGGAGAUAAUCUGCUUUUUACUACCAGUAAGAAUAACCUUGAGUACAUAUUGCACUGUCACAACAUAUUUUCUAUAUGAAUCAGAAAGUAAACUGGUGCACUGCAAAAGCAGACCAUAUUUUUAACAAGCAAAUUCAUAAACCAUGCUUUAUGAACAGAGCAAGCUGGAGGGUGGGGGCUGGGGUUAGGGAGAUCAUAGGAAAACAGAUGUGUGUUUAUGAUACAAACUCUGUCUGACCAACUUCAUGUUACAUUGGGGUUGAUCCAUGGAGAAGUCUCCUUCUAAUGGUGCUGAACUGUCUAUACUGUUUUAUUGAAAUCAGUGUGAGCACACAGACAGGAAAUCAGCACAAAGCAAGGUCAAGGUGAGGGAGGGGGAAUGGCUGUUCCCUUCCAUUCUAGUCAAGAAAACUAUCAGCUAUCCAGGAAAAACAAAACAAAACCACAAAUCCUACAUGCAGUCAGCUGGGAAUAAGGGAAGGAAAAGAGUGUUUCUCCUAAGGACACUUUCUGCUCUGUUUAUAGCUGUAGUUCAUAUGGCAUUUAAUACUUGACCCACAGGGUCACAGGUACAUAAGAAAUGCAUGGACAUAUUAUAACAGUUACAUUUCAUCAAUUUGUGCAAAACAGUCACAGGUGAGCUGCUACAUGCUUGGGUAGCAACCUUCCUAGUUCAGGGAUGGUCUCUGAAUCAUCCUAAGUCUGUCCCCUGGCAAAUUUUGAGUUUCAGCGACAAUUCUGCUUGAGUGAAAACUCAGAGCAGAAGUCCUGAGGCAUUCAGUGUUGGUGGAAGUUCUGCCACUGAGUUUAUAAGAUCGAGUUUAGCCUGAGUAAAAAACCUUGCUCUCUAGUUUUUGUUUUCAUUUUAUAACACUGACAAUAUUAUAGUAGCAAAGGAUUGAGUAAGCAAUCUUCCCUCAAAGAAUGUACAUAUUUAGCUUCCUAGUCAGGCUAGCGUGAGAGGGAUGAGAGAGAAUCCAAACCUUUUCAUAUGUUCCAGUAUCGUGGAAGAGUUGACUUAUUCUUACAUUCUUGAGGCAAAAUUAUAAAUAAAAAUUAAUCUGUUUAAUGCAGCUUCCUUUAUUUUUAGUAGCUCUUUUUUUCAUUUUAAAGAAGGGAGGUAUAUUGACUCCACAAAUGAAUUGGGCACCCUGAAACAUGUUUCUGCCUGCUGAGUCAGAUUGUAACAGUACAUGGUGUUCUUUGUGUUGAUACAGCAUCCCCUCUACAUACAGCUGGCAGAGUACUGACAGCAAUUUCAGAUAUAUAAUUUGUUUAUGAAAAAAUGCCAAAAUUGGUCUGUAAGUAUUAUCCAUUACCAGUUUCUCAAUUCUGCCUACAAACAGCUUGAAUAACAGAACAAACUUUAUGGUUUAGUGCCUUUUUUUCUCAGGGAAGAGCACCUUUCCUGUUCUCUUGAGUGGAGGAACUCUCAAGGAUGCCUACAUAGCAGGCGUCAACACUCUCUGUGUAGACAUAGAAUAAUAUACAGUGCAAAGCUCCCUGAAGAUCUGAUGAAAUCUCCUCUCUAGCAACAGAUCCAACUCUUACUUCAUUUGUACUGGGCUACUGUCUUUGAUUUACCAGAAUAUAUAUCCUUGUGUUGCAUUACAUUAUGGGUAGCAUUACUAUUGUGUCUGUAAAGCCUAAGGAUAUGAGCAGCGUAAGACUUAUAUGGCUUAUAUAUAAUUUCUAUUUGGAACAACAGAAGUAAGGCCAAUAUUUUCGGAAAUAUUGACCAAAGGAAACAUAUUACCUUUCUAUAGACACUUCUUUGUGCAUAAAGCCAUGAGUAAAUGAGCAUUUUACUUUAUUAGUGAAGAGAAUAUGAAGACUUUGUUCUGCCUAUAAGUGCCAUCAUACUUUCUGUUAGUUUCUUGUCCCUAAAGACAUGUUUGACCAUCAAGAUCAUGACUUUAUGCACAAUGAAAAGCUGAAGGACCUUUCUGCCCAGGUCACCCCUUACAAUCAAACCCAGGUCCAUAAUACAGCUCAACGUUGUUACUAUAUUCCUGCUGUUCACAGGAUCACAUAGGGGAAAAGGUUGAGAAACUGCAGUAGGUAGACAAGCUGUAACACACUAAGAAAAAUACUAAGGAAGAAAAUUUAGCAAAACUGUACUGACUACAAAGGAUGAAUUAGAUCCUUUGCUCUUCCAAGUGGUCCUUCUCUAUUGAGAGUGAGGUACAUGAGUGAUAGAGAUACUGAAGCCUGUGCUUUUGAGCAUGCUUAAACUACUUAGUGAAUAGUAGUAUAAUCCUGUAUUUCCAAGUUAGUUCAAUACAGCAAAAAACUAAUCUCAUUUCCUUGGACCUACCCAAAUAAACUGCAGAAAAAAUGUUGCUCAAUUGUCUCACAGGGGACCUGGUAUAUUUUAGUCCCCAAGUGUACAUGGUCUAAUUAAAACUGCCAUAUAACAAGAAGCCAGUCAAGAAACCCAGACAGCUUGGUUUAUGGGACAAAGAGCAGCUUCGUAUUAAUUCCAUCCUAAACAAAGAUCUGAGGAAGGAAUACAGGCUGAGGGGGGAGGGAGUAAAAGAAGCACAGCAGGACCAAAGAGAACAGCACAAGCGGACAGUCAGUUGGUCAAUGCAUCCAGUCCUGAUCUGAAGACCCACGGAAAACAGAGCAGCCAUUCAUGUGCUAUGGCAUGUGGGUCAACUGAAUUGAUCACAUGCUUGCCUGGUACUUACAGCUACGUUUUUGAAACAUCAUGUGGCAAUGUAUGACGAAAUUCAGCCUCUCACCACAAACUACAGUAGCAAAAUGACAAAUAUGUUUGAAUUCUUUCCUUUCUUUUUUUUCUUUUUUAUUUUUUUAAUCAGUGAUUUUUUUUAAAUUCAGAUGUUUUCUAAUACAUUUUUUUUUUUCCCAUUGAAUCUCAUAAGGCACUGAAGUGAAUUUUAAAGAAGUCACUAUAUCUUGUGUUCCAUUUCGGAAGUAUAUCUCUUUCUGAUUAUCUGAUGAUUUUUAUCUUCCAGAAAAAUACAUCAAAGGCCUCCACGAAAUGCAUAGAUGUAACUAUUCUUAAGCACAAGACAAUUUCGUUGUUUCUUUCAAAUCACACAUUGAUCAAAAGACAUAUCAGAAAAUAAUUUUCCUUCCUAUUUGGUGCUACUUCCCGUUUGGCCAGAUGCAUUAGGUUGUUUGCCUUUGCUGUUUCUAAAGCAUCUGCUAGCAGUUAUGCCAGAAAUGUGAUAAUGACCAUGUUCGACCAGUAGCUUGAGCUGGUAGAAUCUGUGUUCUGGGUCUCAGACUGAGCAAAUUGCAGAUACUGUUUCUGCUAACACAAGCAGUACACGUCAGCGAGCACAGCGGAAAUUUGGGCUCUGUUUUCCACAAAGACAGGCCUAGGCCGAUAGACAGCAAAUCAGAAAGCCACAAAAUGGAAGGAAUCCAGGCUAAAGGUUUUGCAGUAAAUAAUCACGCUACAAUAGCAUCUAUAUCUUUCUUUGAGAGCUGAGUUAACCAGUUCAAAUCACUAGCAAGUUUGGGCAAAGAGGCUGCUCAUGGGCCAAGCCCUAAGAGCUCAUAUGUAAUUCUGCAAUCUCUGAGCUUGCCUGCAAGGCUGUGUUUGAAUAAUAAUGAUAAAAAAAAAGAGUGGAGAAGGAAAGAAAAAAAUAAAGAUAAGUUAGCAUUCUUCUGGCAGAUAUUUGGAAGCAUUUGUAUGAUUGUCAGAGCAAGAAGCUGUUGAAUGUUUCUGUUCUUUUAAGAAGAUGAGUUUAAGAGACGACUUUCCAUGCAGAUCAAGAUUUCUCCUCUUUCUUUCGUCCUCCCCCUUCCUUCUGCUGUGUGGUAUACGUUUGGCAUCAAGAGACAAAACAAAGAAAAUGAGAAGAAACAGCAGCAUGAAUCAUCAGUUUUAAGUGGGGAAGAUUUUCUCAGCAUUUGUUUUUCCUAGCAAUACCUUGAAGGAGAGACAAUCUAAUCUCCAACAGAUCCCAGGAACUGUGUAUUCUGCCAAUGGGUUAUGAAGGAAAGAAGAAUAAAUAUUGGAAGCAUAAACGUGCUGGUUGCAAAAGUAUAGUUGUAGAACUGUGUGUUAGCAGAGAGGGGGAAAAAAGGAAAAGGAAACAGUGAGACCUAAUUUGUUAAAACUCCAAAAACCAAACUGAAACAAUUCAGUUUGCUCAGUAUCUGAAAAAUAAAAGGGUUAUCACAGUGAAAUUUAAUAUUGCUGGUACAAAAAUUUCCUCAAUAUUGUAUACAACCAAGUAUGCCCUUCAUUUUGGUCUGGAGUACUCCUCAAAAGCUGUAAAAGAUUUCUUGCAUGCCUCUUAUCAUCUUGAAAUACACAUGAUUAGAAAUCUGCUAGAAUCAAGCUGCCAGAGGCAGCAGUCCUGUUAUAUACUGUUGGCCUGUGUGUCUGAUAUGUGACAUUUUCCUAAAUCCUGUCACGCAUAAUCUAUCACGUAACAAUCUUUUGGAUUAUCCUUUGAGACUGUGGUCUUUUAGCACAAACAUGAAUAUGCUUCAAAUUACUAUGCUCCCCAUUAGAAAGAUGAUCAGUGUUUUUGUGCCAGGGAAAAUAUUACCAGAUAACCAAAUGCGUACUAAAGACCAGUGCAAAGUAUCAGGAAUUAACAGAAGCACAAACCAGCCCUAAUGCUGAGAUUCUAUAUCGGCCAAAAAGGGAUUUUGUCUCCUCAGCUUGCGCUGCAGAAAUCCACGUUUGUAUAUUGCAUCUAUUUUUACAGUCAUGGGUCUGAAGGAAGGGCAGUAUUCUACAGCAUCUGUACCACAAGCUGGUCUCUAGGACAUAUCCAGAUGAUGUAAUCUGUAAAGACAUAGGAUACUCCAGAAUACUAUUUCCUUUACUAGAAAAUGGGAAGUUCUUUUGCUGAGUUCCUUUCAAUCACCUCUCUGUUGCCUUCUCCUCCAAAUCAAUUAAUCUUCAAUGAGUUUUGCAUAGUGCCUUAUGUUGCUGGAAUUUGCCUUGGUUUAGUCUGAAGCUCAAAAUCUCUGGCUUCUGAAGUUUCC
rnacentral:lncRNA from 1 species